UACGUAGGGAGCGAGCGUUGUCCGAAGUUACUGGGCGUAAAGCGCGCGUAGGCGGGCUGUUAAGUGAGAGGUGAAAGGCUGGGGCUCAACCCCAUGCAGUGCCUCUCAUACUGGCGGUCUUGAAUUCGGCAGGGAGAAGUGGAAUGGCUGGUGUAGCGGUGAAAUGCGUAGAUAUCAGGAGGAACACCGGUGGCGAAGGCGGGUCUCUGGGCCGAUACUGACGCUGAGGAGCGAAAGCGUGGGGAGCGAACAGG
rnacentral:rRNA from 1 species